rnacentral:lncRNA from 1 species
GCGUCCUUCAGACAGGAAAUAGGAUCUUAGUGGGUGGCCGCCAAGAGCGCACAGACUUUGAAGCAGGAAAAGACAGUCUCUAGAGCAACAUGGAAAGGAUCCAGAAUCUAAAAUAUUCCUGGAAAUGGAGAGUCCUGACAUGAUGGCCCCAUGAUGAAAAGAACCCAGGUUCCUGAGUCACGACGUGGACAUGAGGCACCAAGGAGAAAACACGUGAACCUUAAUAAGUUUGGGGUGAGAGAGAAAUAAACCUUAAGUAUGUUAAGCUUCUGUCAUUUCAAGGUAAUACAGUGUGGAAGGCAGAAAAAUGACCCACUCUCCCCUGAUAUCCAUUAAAG